UCUCUCUCUCUCUCUCUCUCGUGUCAUUUCUGUCCCGUUGUUUCUGGUCACGGUCCACUCCAUCUCUUCUCCCUCCCUUACUGUUCUCUCUCAAUGCAUAAAAGAAAGAACCACCUUCCAUUGCCACCCUGAUCCUUUCUUUAACGAAACUACCUCUCCGCAAAAUAGAAAAUGCGGCCUUUGUGGCCGUUCUUGAUCUUGGCAGUUCUGCUUUCUCUGUCGGUGGUUUACUGUGCUACUCUUCUUCCUCUUCACAGGGCUUUUCCUUUGAACCACCCACUCGAACUCGACCAACUCAGGGCUCGGGAUAGAGUCAGGCAUGCCCGCCUCUUGCAGGGCCUGGUUGGCGGAGUCGUCGACUUCUCAGUUCAAGGAACUUCCGAUCCUUAUCUCGUCGGACUCUAUUUUACAAAAGUGAAACUGGGCUCUCCUCCAAGAGAAUUCAAUGUGCAGAUUGAUACAGGAAGCGAUGUCUUGUGGGUUACAUGCAGUUCCUGCAGCAAUUGCCCACAAUCCAGUGGCCUUGGAAUUCAGCUCAACUACUUCGAUACUUCCAGCUCGUCAACUGCUGGGCUAAUUCCAUGUUCACACCCUAUUUGUACUUCAGAAAUUCAAACCACAGCAACUCAAUGCUUCUCUCAGAGUAAUCAGUGUAGUUACUCAUUCCAAUAUGGAGAUGGGAGUGGGACAACGGGUUAUUAUGUAUCUGAUACAUUUUAUUUUGAUACUGUAUUUGGAGAGUCCUUGAUUACUAACUCUUCAGCAAUCAUUGCCUUUGGGUAAGCUCUUCUAACUCAUACAAGAAUGGAAGAUGCGAAGUUGAAUGGAUUUUACAAGAAUUACUAGGGUAAAGAAGAGAUAGGUCGAAGAGUUAAAUAUGAAGCCAAUUAUAUGCAUAUUUCACUAUGUUCUUUCAAUGGAGUAUAUCAUAUUGGCCUGGAAUUACCUUGAUCACUGGUUGCAGCAAUGGGCUUUUUAAUAUAAUCACUUUAUAACGGUACUAAAUAUCAAUACCGUUACCAAUUUUAGCACUAAGACGGCCUUUUUUACCAUAACCACUUCAAUGCUUUAAUGGUGAUAUGCCUUUGUCCUUAAAUGACUGUAACUAGUGUCAUCCUGCAACGUCAUUGUUGUUGGGCUAUUUGACAAUAUAAGAAAGGAUGCAUCUGCUUUCUGCUAGUGCCCCUUGUGAGAAAGUGAAUUACAUGCUUCUUAUGCUUUUCACGCAACUUUUCUCUUAUAUUUGUCUUCAUUUUUGUUUUGUUACUUGAAGCUUAUUGCUCUAUGUGUGGUGUUGGAAACAGAUGUAGCACCUACCAGUCUGGGGACUUGACUAAGACAGAUAAAGCAGUUGAUGGAAUAUUUGGAUUUGGCCAAGGGGGUCUCUCCGUCAUAUCACAACUGUCAUCCCAUGGGAUAACACCCAGAGUAUUCUCUCAUUGCUUGAAAGGAGAGGGCAGUGGUGGUGGCAUAUUAGUUCUUGGUGAGAUUUUGGAGCCAGGAAUAGUUUAUAGUCCCCUUGUGCCAUCACAGCCUCAUUAUAAUUUAAAUCUUCAGAGUAUUGCUGUCAAUGGACAAUUGUUAUCAAUUGAUCCAGCUGCUUUUGCAACGUCAAAUGACCGAGGAACUAUUGUUGACUCUGGAACAACUUUGGCAUACCUUGUGGAAGAGGCUUAUAAUCCUUUUGUUAGUGCUGUGACUGCUACGGUCCAACCAUCUGUGACUCCCACAAUAUAUAAAGGAAACCAAUGUUAUUUAGUUUCCAACAGUGUAUCUGAGGUAUUUCCUCCAGUCAGUUUAAACUUUGCUGGUGGUGCAUCUAUGCUGUUAAAACCACAAGAGUACCUUAUAAAUCUUGGUCCCUCUCAGAAUGGAGCUCCGUUAUGGUGCAUUGGUUUUCAGAAGGCUCAAGCAGGUUUAUCAAUUUUAGGAGGUUAGAGACUAGAUCUGACCUUCUUUCUAUUAGAGAAGUGUACUGAAACAUGUUAUCAGUCAUUACACCAGCAUUGCGUAAUAUGUGCCAUUUCUCUCCCUUUUUCUUCCUCCUGUCUCCUGGGUUGUUAGCCAUUCCAUGGAGUGCUUUUAUUUAUUUAUUUAUUGUAAUUCAAUUUUUCCAUAGGAUUACAAGGGCUGACCAUUUCCAACACAUGAGAUAAUUUAUGAGUUGGGUUUGCUACAAACUUCUGAUCUUUUCUAUAAUUGAAUUAUAUCUGUUCCCUGCAAAGUUACAGGAGGAGGCUCAUCGACUUGCAGUUUUUGUCUGAAAGCAAAAUGAAUAUAGACUUCAAAAUAACUUUACUCAAACGAUCUCUUGAGUUUAAUGACCUUCGUCUGUUUCUUUGGCUUGCAGAUCUUGUUCUAAAGGAUAAAAUUUUCGUAUAUGAUCUGGCUCAUCAGCGGAUUGGAUGGGCUAACUAUGACUGCUCAUUAUCAGUAACUGUCUCUGUAACUUCUAGUAAGGAUUUCAUCAAUGCAGGACAGUGGAGUGUGAGCAGCUCGUCAAGAGACAUGCUCCUCAAGCUGCUACCUCUGAGCAUUAUGGCUCUCCUAAUGCACAUAUUAGCAUUGAUGAGUCUUCAAAUUUUGUAAUUUAAACCUCAGGUUUGAAGUUCAAUUCUUUGACCUUGUUGGAAUUGGCUUAGUCGGUUUUUAUUUAUGGUGGUUGGCAAGGCAUGUCCUUUCUGUGGAUCACAGUGGUAGCUGUUAUAUAGUUAUUAUUUCUUAUUGCUGGUAGUUGGAGCAUCUUCCAUUCUUCAAAUGGAAAAUCCAGCAAUUUUUUUUAAAGGAUGCUCCGUCUCUGAGUGCUGCCGGAAUUGUAAAUUAUCAAUGCAUGGUCGGGUGCUGUAUCAUCAGUUCAUCACAUUGUUGUUAAGUAGAACAAAACAUUCAUGUGUCCUGGAAGAAAACAAAUCUUCUGCUGCGACAACUUUUGGGAUAGGCAGGGAUAUAGAAAUGAUGGCGUCCAAGUCCAAGCUAGUCAAUAUUUUCUUCUCUGUUACUUGUUUGGACAACUUUACAAGUGUUAAUUUCUGUAAGCUUUUUGUUUUCACUCAGGAUUGUAAUUCCAUGCUUCUCCUCUGAUUAUGAAAGCCUUUGAUACAUGAAAGGAAAGGAUAGCCACUACACUGCUUUUUAGCUUUUAGAUGAGUAAACAUCCAAUAGUUUGCUGUCAUUAGUGAAUGAUUGGAUGUUGCAUAUUGUAUAGAUCAAAUCUAAG
rnacentral:misc_RNA from 1 species